AAAUUGUAUCUUAUAUCUUGGGUAUCCUAGGUUUUGGGCUAAUAUCCACUUAUCAGUGAGUACAUAUUGUGUGAGUUCCUUUGUGAAUGUGUUAACCUCACUCAGGAUGAUGCCCUCCAGGUCCAUCCAUUUGGCUAGGAAUUUCAUAAAUUCAUUCUUUUUAAUAGCUGAGUAGUACUCCAUUGUGUAGAUGUACCAUAUUCACAUUCUCCUCAUAGUGGUUCUUGGGUCUGAGCCUAAGAUAUUGUUCUUGUUAAUUUUAUGUUAACUUGAUACAAGAUAGAAUCAAAUGGGAAGGGGAACCUCAACUGAGAAAAUGCCUGCAAGUGAAUCUGUGGGAAUAUUUUCCUGACUGAACUGACAGAGAAUGGCUUAGCCCACUAUGGUCCUGGGUUCUAUAAGAAAGUGGAGGCAGCCAGCUGUGAGUCUACCCUGACUCCCUUCAUAAUGAACUGCAAGUAUAAGCUAAAAUAAAGCCUUUCUUCCACAAGUUGUUCUUGGUUCUGGUUCUUACCACAGGACUAGAAACCAAGCCAGGACAGAUAUCUUCCUUACCUAUGUUAGUAUUUCUCUCUCUCAAUUUUCUCUUUAUUUGCUCCAUGCUUUAGGGUAUUACAGCUCCCUUGAUAUAAGCCACCUGGCUAAUCAUAUCUCUUUGGUCAGCUUUGGGCCAGUUAGUGCAAACUCAGAGAUAGAGAAUAGAAUUUCUAGUAAGUAACUUUAAUGAAGAAUGCUUGGGAAAAUCAAAGCAGCCAAGGCACUGAGAAUGAAGGGGCUUAAGGCCAUUUGAUAUAACCACUUCUUGGCUUCACAAAUGUAGUCAGAAAUAUGUACUGAAAAGUAUACAUUUCUGGAUUUUAAAGAUUUUGGUUUACAGUCUGGUUCUUCCUUUUAUCAGUGGAGUGACUCGGGGCCACUAAAUUUUGCAGAAACAACACAUUCUUCCUCUAUAAAUUUAGAAUUUAAAUUAUAGUACUUAAUUCCCUGGUAUUCCUUGGAGUUCUAAUUGGAUGGUAAUAUUCUCUGAGAACUAUAAAUUCCUAUGUGGUAAGUGGUUAGUUUUGGUCACUGGAGAGCUAACCUCAUGCUCACUUGUCUUGUACUGGGCUAUUCAGAUUUCUAACUAUCUCAUUCUAUGUAUAAUUCAGUUUCUUUUGAAAGUCUCUCUGUAUGUAAUAUUCCCUUGCCUCAUUCCUUCAGGGUGGUAAUCAUAAAGAAGUGAAGUAGGCAGUAGUGGGCCAUCAGAUAAACUAACCUUUCCAGUCACUUAGAUUUUAAAUGGACUUUUUUUGUUGUUGGAUAAUUGUCCUGAUCUAGCUAAAACGCAUGAGCUAAGAGGACUCUGAAAGAGAAGGUAAUGCUGGUUAUGACUGUAGGCAAAGGUUUGGAUGGAAGCCAUGGAGUAUUUCUGGUGGAUAGACCCUAUUACUCCCAAGGUCCCAUUGGGCAAUGUUUGCAUGAAUGUCUGACUGUGAAAAGCAAUGUCCAGGGAGAAGCCAGGGACUGAAACAAAGCAGGUCUUCCUGUCUUCCUACAGAGACACAGAAACUGAUAGGCAUAGACAUCGACACAGACACACUGACACAGACAGACAGACACACAAACACAGAUAGGCACAGACACAUAGACAGACACACUGACACUGACACAGAUACAAACAGACAAACAGACACAUACCUCCCUUCUCUGAGGAUAGUCAAUUCAUAUAGAUUAGGCUAGGGGCAAGUCAGAAUCUGAACAUUUGUUAGCAAAAUAGUGCUGAUUCUUUAAAUAGCUCAAAGAUGAUUCUGUGUACGUUACUUUCUGUGGACAUUUGUAUCUAUAUAUAUCUGGAGUUUAUCUUUAUGUAGAAGGUAUAUCUUUAGCUUUAGUACAGACAUAAACAAAUACUUAGUCACAUGCCCAAAUGUAAGUCAUGAAACAAAAUGGCGGAAGUCACAUAAGUUACAAUAUUUAUGUCUCGAGGAUGGCUAAACUUAGCUGCAACAUCUAAUUUGCAGUGACGUCUUUCUUUAACAAGUUUUAUAAGAGGGAUGAUUUAAGUCAAGGAGCAGCAGUGACUCAUUCACAUGGUGCCCAGUGGCUGAGCUAAGUUUAGAACACAAGGGAUGCUAGCGUCUUAUGGGGCUUAGGUUUUUACUGUUAAGUCAUUUUGUUCUUCCACACUGUUUUUGUUUUUCGAUAUAUAUAUUUUUUUUAGUCAUUCAAUUUGGUAAAAUAAACUUGCAUUGCAAUCGUAAAAC
rnacentral:lncRNA from 1 species